AGUCGUAACAAGGUUUCCGUAGGUGAACCUGCGGAAGGAUCAUUACCGUGUUCUGGGUCCCCUCGGGGGCCCAACACCCCACCCUUUGUAGUUACAUGACUAUCGUUGCUUCGGCGGGACGGCCCCCCUCGGGGUAGCCGCCGGGCCCAUAAGCGCCCGGAGAGCGCCCGCCGGAGGACCACAAACACUAGCCUUUGAACGAGUACGUCAGAGUGAGAAUUUAAUAAUUCAAAACUUUCAACAACGGAUCUCUUGGUUCUGGCAUCGAUGAAGAACGCAGCGAAAUGCGAUAAGUAAUGUGAAUUGCAGAAUUCAGUGAAUCAUCGAAUCUUUGAACGCACAUUGCGCCCCUCGGCAUUCCGGGGGGCAUGCCUGUUCGAGCGUCAUUACAACCAUCAAGCACAGCUUGGAACAUGGGCGUCCCCCGCGCACACGCGCAGGGGUGCCCCAAAACUGUCGGCAGAGUCACGCGGACCCGCCGGGCGUAGCAGAAAGGGAAGGCUCACGCCGACCCCUCACGUCCAAUGCGACCGCGCCUCGCGCCGUAAAACUAAUGGCCCGCAAGGGCCGAACACCAAGGUUGACCUCGGAUCAGGUAGGGAUACCCGCUGAACUUAAGCAUAUCAAUAAGCGGAGGAAAGGAAACCAACAGGGAUUGCCUCAGUAACGGCGAGUGAAGCGGCAAAAGCUCAAAUUUGAAAUCUGGCUCCUUCGGGGUCCGAGUUGUAAUUUGUAGAGGAUGCUUUGGGGAAGCCGCCGGUCUAAGUUCCUUGGAACAGGACGUCACAGAGGGUGAGAAUCCCGUACGUGACCGGCAGGGCGCCCCGUGUAAAGCUCCUUCGACGAGUCGGGUUGUUUGGGAAUGCAGCCCUAAGUUGGAGGUAAAUUUCUUCUAAAGCUAAGUACUGGCCAGAGACCGAUAGCGCACAAGUAGAGUGAUCGAAAGAUGAAAAGCACUUUGGAAAGAGAGUUAAAAAGCACGUGAAAUUGUUGAAAGGGAAGCGCUUGCAAUCAGUCUCGACGGCGUCCGUUCCCCUAGUCUUUUGACUGGGUCACUCGGGCGCCGCCGGGCCAGCAUCGGUUCCGGCGGUCGGAAAAAGGUCUCGGGAACGUGGCUCCCCUCGGGGAGUGUUAUAGCCCGGGAUGUAAUACGACCAGCCGGGACCGAGGUCCGCGCUUCGGCUAGGAUGCUGGCGUAAUGGUUGUAAGCGGCC
rnacentral:rRNA from 1 species